UCCGUAGGGUGCGAGCGUUAAUCGGAAUUACUGGGCGUAAAGCGUGCGCAGGCGGUUUUGUAAGCCAGAUGUGAAAUCCCCGGGCUUAACCUGGGAAUGGCAUUUGGGACUGCAAGGCUGGAGUUUGGCAGAGGAGACUGGAAUUCCCGGUGUAGCAGUGAAAUGCGUAGAUAUCGGGAGGAAUACCGAUGGCGAAGGCAGGUCUCUGGGCUAUAACUGACGCUCAUGCACGAAAGCGUGGGGAGCAAACAGG
rnacentral:rRNA from 1 species